GAUGAAGAACGUAGCGAAAUGCGAUAAGUAAUGUGAAUUGCAGAAUUCAGUGAAUCAUCGAAUCUUUGAACGCACAUUGCGCCCGCCAGUAUUCUGGCGGGCAUGCCUGUCUGAGCGUCAUUUCAACCCUCAUGCCCCUAGGGCGUGGUGUUGGGGAUCGGCCAAAGCCCGCGAGGGACGGCCGGCCCCUAAAUCUAGUGGCGGACCCGUCGUGGCCUCCUCUGCGAAGUAGUGAUAUUCCGCAUCGGAGAGCGACGAGCCCCUGCCGUAAACCCCCAACUUUCCAAGGUUGACCUCAGAUCAGGUAGGAAUACCCGCUGAACUUAAGCAUAUCAAUAAGCGGAGGA
rnacentral:misc_RNA from 1 species